GGGGAUGUGGCUCAGUGGUAAAGUGCUUGCUUGGCAUGCAUGAGGCCCUGGGUUCAGAUCCCAAGCACCA
rfam:Ictidomys tridecemlineatus contig021415, whole genome shotgun sequence.